AACGCGAAGAACCUUACCUACCCUUGACAUGUACGGAAUUCUGCUGAGAGGUGGAAGUGCUUGAAAGAGAACCGUAACACAGGUGCUGCAUGGCUGUCGUCAGCUCGUGUCGUGAGAUGUUGGGUUAAGUCCCGCAACGAGCGCAACCCUUGUCAUUAGUUGCUACGAAAGGGCACUCUAAUGAGACUGCCGGUGACAAACCGGAGGAAGGUGGGGAUGACGUCAAGUCCUCAUGGCCCUUAUGGGUAGGGCUUCACACGUCAUACAAUGGUACAUACAGAGGGCCGCCAACCCGCGAGGGGGAGCUAAUCCCAGAAAGUGUAUCGUAGUCCGGAUUGUAGUCUGCAGCUCGACUACAUGAAGUUGGAAUCGCUAGUAAUCGCGGAUCAGCAUGUCGCGGUGAAUACGUUCCCGGGUCUUGUACACACGC
rnacentral:rRNA from 1 species